rnacentral:rRNA from 1 species
UCCUACGGGAGGCAGCAGUCGGGAAUAUUGCGCAAUGGGGGAAACCCUGACGCAGCCAUGCCGCGUGUGUGAAGAAGGCCUUAGGGUUGUAAAGCACUUUCAAUUGGGAGGAAAAGAUAAUGGUUAAUAGCCAUUAGCCCUGACGUUACCUUUAGAAGAAGCUCCGGCUAACUCCGUGCCAGCAGCCGCGGUAAU